UUGUCCUAUGAAGGUGCAGAGAUAUCUUUCUGUCUAAUCGAGGGGUAAGCCUACCUCUCACUAAUGUAUUGAGUUCCCAGUUCUCAGCCUUUGUGACACAGAUUCCAGGAGGAGUUUUCCUUGCUCCCAGCCUGAACCUUUUUGCUGUGCAUUUUCCUGUGUAGCUACAUGCUACCUUGUUAGUCUGGCUGCAGCUCUUUGCUUCUCCUCCCACCCUCACUCAUGAAUUCAACUUCCCUUCUUUUAUACCCUCAUUUCUUUUUGUCACUUAAACUUUCUGUGCCUCUUUCUCUUUCUUUUCUGAACUCCUCUGAGCCAAGCACAGUUGGCCACCCCUAGGUAUCAGAACACCUUCUCCCAUGUGCAUGCACACAAUACAGACACAUCUUGUGUGGGAAGGUUUAACAAAGGCCCCUGUGCAGGAGGCAUAUUGUGCUCGGUGAUCUGCUAAGAACAGGCUCCUUUUACUUCUUAUACAGUCUCAAAUUAAUUCCAGCGAGCACACAUAACUCUUAGGUCACUGAGACCCCCAUCCAUCUGAAAAUCUUAACCUGUCUGACAAUGCUGCACCCACUAGAUUUACAAGUAGCCCUCAAGUAACUGAAGAAAGUGAGACCCUUUGUCUCUGUUUAUGGUAUGCAUUCAUCAGCCCUUUGUUAUUGGCACUGUCCAACCUCUGGAGAGCCCGUCAGACCCCAGUCCUGCAAGGAGUGCAGUGCCUGUGCAGAUCCGAUCCACUGCAAUGAGCCCCAUGCAGAGCUCAUGGUAGGAGUGGGGACCCGUCAGUUUCUCCCUUGCUGAAAAGAUCCUUUUAUAGAGAUAUAGCAAUAGCAGAGCAGAACAAAGCCUUCUUGCAAAAAGAAUGAUUUAAAAAAAAAUCAGGCCAUGUUAUUUAAAGGAGACGCUGUCAGAAAGAGUCAUAUUUAACUACGAGUUUGUUAAAAAGACUUGAAUUUGACUGUGUCCCUACACAUGCCCCACGUUCUCAUGUGAUGCCCCCCACCCUACUGAGCAGCUGUGGGGAUGAGCUCUGAAGGGAAGCCCUCCCAUAUUGGAAGAAGAGUGGUCAACAGCUAAGGCCUUGAAGUUGGCUCCUUGGAGCAGCCACUCCCAAUUGGCUUUUAUUAAAGAGCUGCUCCAGCCUCAAUAACUCGCUGGCUGCCCUGGACAGCAAUGCAGAGGGGAGCCGACUCCUGCUCAGACUGAAUUCCUCCUAACACAUUAUCCUGCCACAUAAAUUAAUGAGCUUCCUUAGGCCCCACAGCACGCUGCUGGAGACUUCAUACACUCAGAGGCUCAGCACAGGGAGAUGGGAGAACUGGUGGAUUCUAGGGUCAAAUUUUUAUUUGUGAGGGAAGGGAACAGGGGAAAGGCAGGUUAUUAUUUAGUCCCCGGAAAUGGAUUUACUCCUCAAGUGUAGACUCCCCUUGUUGGAGUUGAAGGUUUUGGGUUCAAAUCCAGAUGUUGGCAGGACUCAAACCUGGACAUUCAGGGCCUGAGGGUCUGAUAGCUGCAUGUCCCACCUCCACUGGGGGACGGGAUUAGGGCCCUACCCUUCUCUGCUUAGCAGACUCAUCAGCAUAGGGCGGCAAUGCUGGGAAAGCCACCAAAUAGCAAAGCUCUCAGUUGGUCAUUAAAGGAAGUGGUUUGCUAAUGGGACCCAUACAGUUUCCAGUACAUGCUCCCCGCCCCCCCACUAGCGUGGGUAAAGGCAAUAAAAAGGGAACAGCCACUUAAUAAACACUAGUUAGCAUGCCAGCUUAAUGAGCACCAGCCCCACCAUGACUGGGACUUUUAAAGGCGCAGUUGCAUGGGUCUCCAUCCCUCCCCCACACAAAAGAAACUUUAAGGAUUAUAUUUUGCUGCUCACUGCCCAGUCCUGCAGUCCUUGCUCAGACGAAGGGUAAACAGGCUGAGCCAAGUAAUUAUAGCUCUGUCAGUCUGACUGAUCCUAGGCAAGAUAUUACAGCAGCGGAUACAGGACUCUAUUAAUAUAGAAUUAAAGGAGAGUAAUAUAAUUAAUGCCAAUCAACAUGGGUGUAUGGAAAAAAUAGAUCCUGUCAAGCUGAUGUGAUACCUUUUUGCAUGAGAUUACCAAUUUGAUUGGUGAAAAUACUAGUUUUGAUAUACUAUACUUAGAUUUACGUAAGGCUUUGACUUUGUACCGGCCGCCAUUUUGAUUAAGAAACUAGAACAAUAUAAAAUUAACAUGGCACACCUUCAAUGGAGUAAAAGCUGACGAACAGAUAGGUCUCAAAAUGUAACUGUAAACAGGGAAUCAUGUGGGCGCGUUUCUAGUGGGAUCUGCAGGGAAUUGUUCUUGGCCUUGUGGUAUUUAAUGUUUUUAUCAGUGAUCAAAUCAGCACUGAUAAAGUUUGCAGAUGACACAAAAAUUGAGGGAGGGGUAAUAAUAAAGAAAACAGGUCACCAAUACAGAGCGCUCUGGAUUGCCUGGUAAGCUGGGCACAGGCAUAUACAAUGCAUUUUAAUACACUUAAAUGUAAAUGUAUACAUCUAGGAACAAAAAUGUAGGCCAUGCUUACAGGAUGGGAGACUCUCUCCUGGUAAAUGGUGACUGAAAAAGAUUUUGGGUUUGGGGUGGAUAAUAGGCUGAACAUAUGCUCUCAGUGGGGCUAAUGAGAUCCUUGGUACAAAUCCAUGGUACGCCCACAUCUUGAAUACUGUGUGCAGAUGUG